rnacentral:rRNA from 1 species
UACGUAGGGAGCAAGCGUUGUCCGGAAUCAUUGGGCGUAAAGCGCGCGUAGGCGGCCCCGUAAGUCCGCUGUGAAAGUCGAAGGCUCAACCUUUGAAAGCCGGUGGAUACUGUGGGGCUAGAGUCCGGAAGAGGCGAGUGGAAUUCCUGGUGUAGCGGUGAAAUGCGCAGAUAUCAGGAAGAACACCCGUGGCGAAAGCGGCUCUCUGGAACGGUACUGACGCUGAGACGCGAAAGCGUGGGGAGCGAACAGG